rnacentral:rRNA from 1 species
AAAGAGGAGAUAGCAGACGUUCCAAUCUGCGCUCAGCGUCGCUGCUGUGAUAUGAACCGUUAUUACCGGCGAUUUCCGAAUGGGGAAACCCAGUGAGUUUCGACACUCUAUCCUUAACUGAAUCCAUAGGUUAAUGAGGCGAACCGGGGGAACUGAAACAUCUAAGUACCCCGAGGAAAAGAAAUCAACCGAGAUUCCCCCAGUAGCGGCGAGCGAACGGGGAGGAGCCCAGAGCCUGAAUCAGUGUGUGUGUUAGUGGAAGCGUCUGGAAAGGCGCGCGAUACAGGGUGACAGCCCCGUACACAAAAAUGCACAUAUUGUGAGCUCGAUGAGUAGGGCGGGACACGUGGUAUCCUGUCUGAAUAUGGGGGGACCAUCCUCCAAGGCUAAAUACUCCUGACUGACCGAUAGUGAACCAGUACCGUGAGGGAAAGGCGAAAAGAACCCCGGCGAGGGGAGUGAAAAAGAACCUGAAACCGUGUACGUACAAGCAGUGGGAGCCUCUUAAUGGGGUGACUGCGUACCUUUUGUAUAAUGGGUCAGCGACUUAUAUUCUGUAGCAAGGUUAACCGAAUAGGGGAGCCGAAGGGAAACCGAGUCUUAACUGGGCGUUAAGUUGCAGGGUAUAGACCCGAAACCCGGUGAUCUAGCCAUGGGCAGGUUGAAGGUUGGGUAACACUAACUGGAGGACCGAACCGACUAAUGUUGAAAAAUUAGCGGAUGACUUGUGGCUGGGGGUGAAAGGCCAAUCAAACCGGGAGAUAGCUGGUUCUCCCCGAAAGCUAUUUAGGUAGCGCCUCGUGAAUUCAUCUCCGGGGGUAGAGCACUGUUUCGGCAAGGGGGUCAUCCCGACUUACCAACCCGAUGCAAACUGCGAAUACCGGAGAAUGUUAUCACGGGAGACACACGGCGGGUGCUAACGUCCGUCGUGAAGAGGGAAACAACCCAGACCGCCAGCUAAGGUCCCAAAGUCAUGGUUAAGUGGGAAACGAUGUGGGAAGGCCCAGACAGCCAGGAUGUUGGCUUAGAAGCAGCCAUCAUUUAAAGAAAGCGUAAUAGCUCACUGGUCGAGUCGGCCUGCGCGGAAGAUGUAACGGGGCUAAACCAUGCACCGAAGCUGCGGCAGCGACACUAUGUGUUGUUGGGUAGGGGAGCGUUCUGUAAGCCUGUGAAGGUGGCCUGUGAGGGUUGCUGGAGGUAUCAGAAGUGCGAAUGCUGACAUAAGUAACGAUAAAGCGGGUGAAAAGCCCGCUCGCCGGAAGACCAAGGGUUCCUGUCCAACGUUAAUCGGGGCAGGGUGAGUCGACCCCUAAGGCGAGGCCGAAAGGCGUAGUCGAUGGGAAACAGGUUAAUAUUCCUGUACUUGGUGUUACUGCGAAGGGGGGACGGAGAAGGCUAUGUUGGCCGGGCGACGGUUGUCCCGGUUUAAGCGUGUAGGCUGGUUUUCCAGGCAAAUCCGGAAAAUCAAGGCUGAGGCGUGAUGACGAGGCACUACGGUGCUGAAGCGACAAAUGCCCUGCUUCCAGGAAAAGCCUCUAAGCAUCAGGUAACAUCAAAUCGUACCCCAAACCGACACAGGUGGUCAGGUAGAGAAUACCAAGGCGCUUGAGAGAACUCGGGUGAAGGAACUAGGCAAAAUGGUGCCGUAACUUCGGGAGAAGGCACGCUGAUAUGUAGGUGAAGCGACUUGCUCGUGGAGCUGAAAUCAGUCGAAGAUACCAGCUGGCUGCAACUGUUUAUUAAAAACACAGCACUGUGCAAACACGAAAGUGGACGUAUACGGUGUGACGCCUGCCCGGUGCCGGAAGGUUAAUUGAUGGGGUUAGCGGUAACGCGAAGCUCUUGAUCGAAGCCCCGGUAAACGGCGGCCGUAACUAUAACGGUCCUAAGGUAGCGAAAUUCCUUGUCGGGUAAGUUCCGACCUGCACGAAUGGCGUAAUGAUGGCCAGGCUGUCUCCACCCGAGACUCAGUGAAAUUGAACUCGCUGUGAAGAUGCAGUGUACCCGCGGCAAGACGGAAAGACCCCGUGAACCUUUACUAUAGCUUGACACUGAACAUUGAGCCUUGAUGUGUAGGAUAGGUGGGAGGCUUUGAAGUGUGGACGCCAGUCUGCAUGGAGCCGACCUUGAAAUACCACCCUUUAAUGUUUGAUGUUCUAACGUGGGCCCCUUACCGGGGUUGCGGACAGUGUCUGGUGGGUAGUUUGACUGGGGCGGUCUCCUCCUAAAGAGUAACGGAGGAGCACGAAGGUUGGCUAAUCCUGGUCGGACAUCAGGAGGUUAGUGCAAUGGCAUAAGCCAGCUUGACUGCGAGCGUGACGGCGCGAGCAGGUGCGAAAGCAGGUCAUAGUGAUCCGGUGGUUCUGAAUGGAAGGGCCAUCGCUCAACGGAUAAAAGGUACUCCGGGGAUAACAGGCUGAUACCGCCCAAGAGUUCAUAUCGACGGCGGUGUUUGGCACCUCGAUGUCGGCUCAUCACAUCCUGGGGCUGAAGUAGGUCCCAAGGGUAUGGCUGUUCGCCAUUUAAAGUGGUACGCGAGCUGGGUUUAGAACGUCGUGAGACAGUUCGGUCCCUAUCUGCCGUGGGCGCUGGAGAACUGAGGGGGGCUGCUCCUAGUACGAGAGGACCGGAGUGGACGCAUCACUGGUGUUCGGGUUGUCAUGCCAAUGGCACUGCCCGGUAGCUAAAUGCGGAAGAGAUAAGUGCUGAAAGCAUCUAAGCACGAAACUUGCCCCGAGAUGAGUUCUCCCUGACUCCUUGAGAGUCCUGAAGGAACGUUGAAGACGACGACGUUGAUAGGCCGGGUGUGUAAGCGCAGCGAUGCGUUGAGCUAACCGGUACUAAUGAACCGUGAGGCUUAACCUU